UACGUAGGGGGCAAGCGUUGUCCGGAAUCAUUGGGCGUAAAGCGCGCGUAGGCGGCCCGGUAAGUCCGCUGUAAAAGUCAAAGGCUCAACCUUUGAAUGCCGGUGGAUACUGUCGGGCUAGAGUCCGGAAGAGGCGAGUGGAACUCCUGGUGUAGCGGUGGAAUGCGCAGAUAUCAGGAGGAACACCGGUGGCGAAGGCGGGUCACUGGCUCGGUACUGACGUUGAGGUGCGAAAGCGUGGGGAGCAAACAGG
rnacentral:rRNA from 1 species